rnacentral:rRNA from 1 species
AACGAACGCUGGCGGCAUGCCUAACACAUGCACGUCGAACGAGACCUUCGGGUCUAGUGGCGCACGGGUCCGUCACGCGUGGCAACCUGCCCUUAGGUUCUGCAUAACUCCCCGAAAGGGGUUCUAAUACCGGAUAAUGUCUUCGGACCAAAGAUUAAUCGCCUUUGGAUGGGCCCGCGUUGGAUUAGCUAGUUGGUAGGGUAAAAGCCUACCAAGGCGACGAUCCAUAGCUGGUCUGAGAGGAUGAUCAGCCACACUGGGACUGAGACACGGCCCAGACUCGUACGGGAGGCAGCAGGGGGGAAUAUUAGACAAGGGGCGAAAGCUUGAGCCAGCCAUGCCGAGUGAGUGAUGAAGGCCUUAGGGUUGUAAAGCUCUCUUACCCGGGAUGAUAAUGACAGUACCGGGAGAAUAAGCUCCGGCUAACUCCGUG